rnacentral:tRNA from 1 species
UUAGUUGAAGCCAAGGGGGAGGCAUUUUAAUGUUAAUAAAAAAAUUGAAUUUUAUUCCAACUAAA